CGAUGGUGCCGUUGUAGUUCUCUUGGGAAGACGUCCAGGACAUCACGGCCGUGGUGGAGCUCAGAAUGUGGACGCUCACGUGCUGGGGCUUCUCGCUGCAGCCUCCACUGGGUGACCAGCCAUUAACCCGAGCAACAGCGUGGCGGCCGCAGCAAAACCAGUUCCGCUGAGAGACAGGAGCUCCACUUCGUUUGUUACGUGCAUCUGAGACUGUUCUGCUUUUCCUGGAAUCUAUAUUCAGGAGAAAAUUCUGAAUGUACGCUGCAGGCAUGUCAUCCCUGCUGAGAAGCAGAGCAAGAAGGAAGUGUUAAAAGUCAUCGAAAUGGAUCCGCAGCCUGAGCGAACCUGUUUGACUGAAGGUUACCAUGGGAACAGUUUCCAGGACCUACUGUGCUGACAAGUCUGGGGACCCGUGAAGCUAUGCCUGGCUGAUGACUGACUGGGGAGGAGCUGGGUCCAGAAUCCAGGAAGCCAUCACAAUCAUUUGUUCUCCACAGUCCAGUGAUCAGGCAAAUUCUGCACAUAUGUGACAUUCUUCUGGCUUAAUGUGUUACCAAAAAAAACAGAGGUUCCUGACAGGUUAAUUCUGUGAAACAAGCAUUAUAUUUUCAUAAAAGGAAGCACUGACAAACAUAAUUUUGCCUGAAUUUUUAAAAUUCUCCAUCUCUCUUCUCUAGCUUUACCAGUAUUUAUCGUUUUUAAACGGUUUUACCUCAGAAAGACGCUUGUAGAAAUGUAGCUUGUCCCACGUAUUGAAAGAUAAUGUGAAAGAUGAUGGCGUUAAUCAUUGAUGAGUUUAGUCACAUUUCCCCACAGGCAGGAAGUGUCUCUCCAGCUGUGACACCCAUUAAUUAAAUCCUGAUGGCAGUUAACAAAGAGUGCUGUGUGUGUCUACCACACACACACUUCACCGCACAUGUAGGUGUGGCCCUUGUGACCUCUGUUAAGCACUGCCCUGUAACUCCCCUCCUCGUUGGGUUGUUCACAUUGCCAACAGCAGAACUUGCAGACCUUUAAAGCAAAUUGCUUCUUGUGCCCUCCACCAUCAUUGGGAUUUAAUGAUUUUCCUGGAAGACUGCUCCCUCCAAGCCAAAUAAAUUAAGGCCCAGAAGUCAAAGGAGAUGAAGUGCUGUGUACUUAACAUACAUGCUCUGCUCAGUGUCUACCUUCAUGGAAUUUAAAAAAAAAAAAUGAGUGCCUGCUGUAUGCUUGGUGCUGAGGAUAAGAUGGUGAAGAAAAGAAAUGUGUUCUCUGUCCCAGUGAAGUUCAGAGUCUACAGCAAAAGAAAGGAAAUACACCAAGUUAAAUAAUUCAGUAACUACAAGUGAAAAAGGCCUUGCAAAGAAGUGCCUGAUGGCAAAGGAGGAUCUAACCUAGAGGAAGGAAGUGUCUGUACAGAUAAGUACAGGCUGCAGUAAAAGCUGGCCUGAUGAUGAUUUGGAGAAAGAAGAUGAUCUAUGAAGAACAGUGUGUAUGAAGAUUUGGGGGCUGGAGAAAACAUAGUGUAUCUGAGAAAUCAGAAUGGUUAAGAGUGGGGACUAGGUCAGGGGAUGCUCUGCAAGUCUUUCUUAAAAAGUUGAGGCUUGUUGCUCCAGGUGAUGGGAAGGCACUUAACGGGUUAUUGAGCAGAGGAGUAAAACAAUCAGAUUUGCAUCCUGUAAUAAAAGCAAAAAAUCAUUAUGCUAACCACUGGCUCCCAAAUUCCUAUUGGAGGAACUUUUAAUAAAAAAAACUUAAUUAAUGAACCCCUUGGGACAGAAGGGAACGGUCUAAUGGUAUGAUCAGAGGAAUCUAGGCAAACCAAGGAAAAGAAAAAGGCAGCCAAACUGGCAUUCAAGUUCCAAAGAAAAGAAUGGCCUUAUUGCAGAAAGUAAGGGGGAGACAGAGGAAGGAAGGGGCUGGAAAAAGCACGGAGAGAAGGGACAGCAUGAGAGUGUGACAUUGGGACACAGAAGGAGCAAGCAGCCAACAGAAAUGUCCAGAUGGUGAGGAGGUCAAAGAGCAUUCUAAAACUGGGCAUGCCUAAUAUUCCAUCUGAAGUUAGCCUUCUGAAUGGUAAGCACUCCUCCAUCUCCCCAGACCCUGAUCUUUACUGAUGAGUGCCACAGUCAGACAUACUUUGUGUGAGUGGCUCAUUUGUGGGACUUGCUGAAGGGGCUGAGUUUCACGUGCUUGUGUUAGGACACAGGAGUGGUCAUCGGGGAAAGUGGUACCCAAGGGAAGAGGAAACUGGGGGAAUGAAAACCUCCUCCAAAUUAACAAAAUUCCCAAGGGGAUUUGAACAUCCAUUGGAAAUGGGAAAAAAUUUAAAAUCAAAUUCAUUUAGGUCUCAGGGUGGGCAGGAAGGUCCUUCUGGUUACAGUGCUGAGAACUGGUUGGAGAGGACAGGCAGCAGUAGGUGUGAUGGAAAUAUUCUAGGGGAGAAAUUAUGGUAGCUCAGAAGAGUGUGGGGUCAGGAGAAAUUUAGAGGGAAUAUUCCUCAGAAUUUAAUGACUUGAGAUUUGAUGGGUUGUGGGCUGCUUGUGGUGCUGAUUUUAUACCCAUGCUCACACCUCGUCAUCAUUGUCAUCACUGUCGUAUAGAAAAGACUCAGGUGAGCAGAUAUGAGCAGGGUGGGAAUGAGGUUGAUGCGUGUAAUCAGUUUAGUUUGAUGCAUAACAUGGGGCAUAUCCAAGGUCAAAUGCCAACUAGGUGGUGAGAUAUGUGGAUCCAGAAUUCAGAAGAGAGUUCUGGAUCUAAUAUUUGUAAGAAACUGACUUACAGAUGGAAGCCGGAGCCUGGGAACUGGGGGGAUACCGCAGUGCAGUGAUACAACUACUACUAUUAAUAGCACUUACUUUUAUUAAGAAUCUACUUUGUGUUAAGAACUUUUUAGGCAUUACUUUGCUUAAGCGUCUUAACAACCCUCUAAAAAUAGAUAUUAUUAUUAUCA